AAAUAAUUGGAGCAUUUAUCAGAAGUGAUGCAAACGAGGACAGGUUUGACAGUACAUGGAGAUCUACAUCCUCGCUAGCUAAGGAUGAUGUUAAUUCUGGGUGUUCUGUUUCAGUGACAUUAAGAACAACUUUCACUACUUUAAUUACAGUAUCAACAGGGUCUACAACCACCAGCUCCACCAACACAUCCACCAGCUCCAACACCACUGCAACAGUAAAUGCUUCUACAACAUCAACAGCAACAAACACACCUACAACUGCUCCUAUAAUUAUUCCGUGUGAUGAUACUUGUAUCAUUAUUAUAGUAGUAUGUGUUGUGCUAUUUGUUGCACUUCUUGCCUUAUUCUUUGCCUGCUGUUUGCUUAGAUGUAGAAGAAAUAAUAAAAAGAAAAAAGACAAGUCUAAAGUGACCAAAUCAGGUCAAUCCUAUGAUAAUGACAUAAACCUCAGACAGUGUGAUGACCGCUGAUGCAAGUGGUAGAAACUGGGGAGAAAAUAAUAGACAUUGACACUGCAAGCAAACAAAGGCUUGUUAAUGUUGCAGGAAGAACAUUCAUUAUUGCCUUACAUGUAAUUGCAACAGUAAGAAGGUAUCUCUGUUGAACAGAAUAAAUUUAUGAUAUACUUAUUCGUCAUCAAAUGAAAUUGUAAAAAGGAUAUAUUUUUAGUAGUAUUAUAUGGAUAGAGAUUACUUACACUAAUUUAUACAAAUACUUCGAAAACAAGAGAAAUUUUAGAUAAAGGUGCUCAAGGUAACCUAGUAUGAUCAUUUAACAUCCUGCAUCCUCUGGAGUAUGUUAUCAUUUCUGUCAGACAACACCUCUUAAACCAUUUCAUUGAAGAUGAAACUUGUUCCAAUAGUGCAGUGUGGCUGCAUGUAUGGGUCAUAUGCUGCACAUAUGGGUCACAUGCUGCACAUAUGAGUCACAUGCUGCACAUAUGGGUCACAUGCUGCACAUAUGGGUCACAUGCUGCACCUAUGUUCAAACAAAAUUUUACCAGCAGGUGUAAUAUUAAAAAAAAAAAAUUGCAGAAAUCUUCUUGUUCAACACACUACAAAUAUUUUUCUAACUAUUCUAAGUCAACAAAAGCAUGGUUACCAGAAGGUGGGGCUGGUUUUCUUUGGAAGGAUAAAAAGUAAUUAAAAAAAAAUGUUGUUAAAGAUUGUUUUCAUAUGAUUUGUAAAAAACUUGCCUGUUAUUGAGCAGGGCUGGUUUCCAUUUGUGUUUCUACUCAGUGAUCUAGCACUAUCAUGGCCUUCUUGUGAAAGCAUUUAUGUGAAAAUACUGUAGUUCUAUAUCCAGGGUUCAUACAGGCCUUGAAAAGUCCUUUAAUUCAAUAAAUAUAUAAGUCCUUGAAAAUGACAUAAACCCCCAAAACCUGAAAAAAAAAGUACUUGAAUUUUGUGGGGGGGGGGGGGACAGCUGGAAUUAACCUCUAACUUCUGAAAACAUUCUGUCCUGUAGAAAUAAAUAAGGUUUAAAAUAAAUCAGAGAAAAUAGUAAUAAAUUCUUGAAAACGCAGGAUAGGGUCACAAAUUGAUUUCCUUAUAAUUAUGCUUUGAUAGUGGUCUGGGGCCACAUUUUAUCCAGAUUUACACAGUGUGCUUACUUAUCUCUGCUGUAUCAUCGUUUGUAUAUUUUUAGCUGAAACACAGUGAUUGUGAUAAUAAAUGUUAAUUUG